UACGGGAGGCAGCAGUGGGGAAUAUUGCACAAUGGGCGCAAGCCUGAUGCAGCCAUGCCGCGUGUAUGAAGAAGGCCUUCGGGUUGUAAAGUACUUUCAGUCGUGAGGAAGGUGUUAAGGUUAAUAACCUUAGCAAUUGACGUUAGCGACAGAAGAAGCACCGGCUAACUCCGUGCCAGCAGCCGCGGUAAUACGGAGGGUGCGAGCGUUAAUCGGAAUUACUGGGCGUAAAGGGCACGCAGGCGGUUAAUUAAGUUGGAUGUGAAAUCCCCGGGCUUAACCUGGGAAUGGCAUUCAAGACUGGUUAGCUAGAGUCUUGUAGAGGGGGUAGAAUUCCAUGUGUAGCGGUGAAAUGCGUAGAGAUGUGGAGGAAUACCGGUGGCGAAGGCGGCCCCUGGACAAGACUGACGCUCAUGUGCGAAAGCGUGGGGAGCGAAACAGGAUUAGAUACC
rnacentral:rRNA from 1 species